rnacentral:tRNA from 8 species
GUCCCCGUAGCUCAGCAGGAUAGAGCAGCCGCCUCCUAAGCGGCAGGUCGCAGGUUCGACUCCUGCCGGGGACGCCA